GCUGACGCAAACCCACGCCGGACAGGAGAGCUCAAAAGCCGGGUAACAUUUCAAGGAAGACCCCCCCUGCGCAGACCUCCACUAGGCCGGGAUGACUGUUCAGCUGUGGCGGGGAGUGGCCUCCCUCCGGUCGGCACGACGACUUCCAUAAUGUUACCGGGCGCUGACGCAAACCCACGCCCGGCAGGAGAGCUCAAAAGCCGGGUAACAUUUCAAGGAAGACCCCCCCUGCGCAGACCUCCACUAGGCCGGGAUGACUGUUCAGCUGUGGCGGGGAGUGGCCUCCCUCCGGUCGGCACGACGACUUCCAUAAUGUUACCGGGCGCUGACG